CAGUUCAUGCAGUUGGGCAGGAAAGCAUCUUUCCGAGUCUGUCCUUGGAUCACGAGGUGGCAGCUGCUGAUGGAGACUCUCUGGGCACACCUGGAGUCGCAUCACAGCCCUGUGGACGCUCACUGACCAGAACUUCGGGUGUCUAGCUAACCGAGGGCCUCGUUGGCUCAGCUGUGGAGGCCAGGGGAACCGUGACUCACGCCAGGGCUUCAGGCCGUUCCGAGUACCAACCCCCCAAAAAAAGAGAAACCCAAACCCAAAAGACAGCCGUGCCAACGCCUCCACAGUCCUGGUGGACCCAGAGCAGCGGAGCGUUUGAGAAAACGGCUUCACAGACGUUGAGGACGCACUGAGGACGCUGUGCGACACAGCCCGAGUUUUAGUGCGGUUACUAGAAAAUUGAAAGUUGCAUAGAAGAGAAACGCAACUCCGUGCCGGGACGGAGACGCGCCGAGACGGAGACGCGCCAAGACGGAGACGCGCCGAGACGGCCGGCGCUUCGGCAGCCGCGCGUGGAAACGAGGCUUUGUGCCCGGGAGCGCGUCCUCUUGAGCCGCCACCGACCGACUGACCGCGCGGGUGACUGCAGAGCCGCCGCUGGAGCCGGGAUCCCUGGGCGGGGCUCCCCUCCCCCUGCCGCCGGCGCCCGCCUCCCUGCCCCGAGCGGGAGCCAGCUGCAAGGAGGCAGCGGUGGAAGCCCGAGCGACAGUAUCUCUGGUGGUGCCGCCGGGGGCGGGGCGGGCGGCAGGUGCAGGGUCACUGCCGCGCUGCUCCCCAGGACAAGCCACCCCUCGGACGCGGGCCACACCUCUCGGGCAUGGGCAGGUCUGGCCGCAGAGCCCGGCCUGAGGCCGCAGAGCCCGGCCCGCGGCCACCCCGGUGCCCCUUGGCAGCAGCGGCAGCAGCGCCGCGCGGGAGGUAGGGACGGGAAGCCGGGCACUCCCCGAUUUUUCUAUGAGCAGGGAAAAAAAGGUGGGGGCUUGUUUCUGUGGUAAGUGGCUUUUAAGAAAAAGUGCCCAUAGUUUAUCUCCGAGUGGGGAGCCAGUCAGAAGAAACGACAGACUCCCUGCUCGGCUGAGGAAGAGAAAAGAAUCUCCAGCUGACCCGUCUGUCCUGUUCAAGGAAAAGAAGAAAGAAUGGGCACUCUGCCAAGUGUCUGAGGUUGUCCCAGUCGUGACAAAUAAUUAGGAAGAAAACGUCCUGAACCAGGCAGGUGUCUCUCGCCUAUAGUCCCAGCAACCGGGGAGGCUGAGGCAGGAGAAUUGCCAGUUCAAGGCCAACCUGGGCAAUUUAGUGAGGACCUGUCUCAAGAUAAUAAAAAGGGCUGGGGGCGUAGCUCAGUGGUAAAGUGUCCCCAAGUUAAACCUCCGUACCAAAAAAAAAAAAAAAAAAGGAAAAAGAAAAAGUAAAAAGAUCUUGAAAGGUGUGCAAGAUCCCCGCUGUUUCUUGGAAAGUUCCCUGUUAGAAAAGAAUGUGCUCCUAACAGUCUAGAAGGGGUGCAAUUGGCUGUACGCAGGAGACAGUUGUCUGUCUCCUUGGUGGGAGGAAUCUGAUGAGCCUUUUAGUCCGUCACAGUGAGGGAGGACGCGUAAACCGAGCUGCAAGGGCCAGACGGGAACUGUUGCCAACAACCCCGUCCAGUCCUGUUUCUCUUCCCCUCAUGGGCACUCUUGCCUCAUGUUUUAGUGGACAUUGCUGUGUUCCUCGGUACUCAGACAUACGUGUAUCUCCCCUCGAUCACUUUCCACGAGUUGCUGCUGUAAGAGUAUUCUGCUAAGUGUGGGUGCAUUCACACUCCAAAGCAGAUCCGGAGUCUGAAGCAGCUAAGAGCAGCUAUGAAACGAGGAACACACAGCUGCAGAAACAGCAAGCAAUAGGUAGAGGACUUUGGGGUUUUUUGUUUUGUUUUGUUUUGUUUUGUUUUGGUGUUAUAGAGGAGAGAUUCUAAUUACAAGAAAAUUCCAAUGAAUUGGGCAAAAAUAUUAGUUUCUACACCAUCCUAAAGAAAAAGUUAUGAUGGAUUUUGGAAUAUGAAACAUUUUUUUAAGGUCGGAAACUUAAAUCGUAAAAAUGACCGGUGUUGAAGUUCUCAAACCAGAACUCUUGCGUACAAAAGUAGGCAAGAAAAGGUUGCGUACUUUCCUGGAGUCAAUCUGAGUGGUCCUACUCCUUUCCUUUGCAGGAAAACUAGUGCUUACAGUGUCCAAUUGUGUUUCGCUUCGGGUUGAAAUUGAAACAAUGAGAACCUAAAGAAAGUGGGUGCAAGCUCCCUAUUUGGGUGAAUAUGCAAAGCGUGACCUGUAACUUCAU